GUGAUUUUAAAUAUGGGGGAUUAAUUAAUUAUAAAAAUUUGACUUGAAAGCACAAAGGUGAUAAAAAAUCUAAAAAAAAAUGAAUCUGUCAGAGAGCAAUAGGGAUGUCCGGUGGCUGACAUCUGUGGGAAGACUUCCUGUUAGAGCUGUUGUGUCUUGGAGUUGUUAUGUCACAUCAAAAGAAUGAUUUACUGCAAUGAUGAUGAGACACAACAGUAUCUUCUAAUGGACUGUUAAUUCAAAGUGCUUGGUGUACAUUUUGAUGUAUGUUAUAAAUCUCUCAUGUAUUGUAUUAUGGAAGAUAAACUGCCAUCCAAACAUACAGAACUGAUGAAGAUAAUUAUAUGCAUUGUAUGUUUAAAACUGUGGAAAACAAGAUGUUCCAUGAUAAUUAAACAGAAUGUAAUCAACAGCGACACCAUAAUUAAACAGAUACUUGCUGACCUCCGGAGGAGGAGAAGUCAAAUCUCAGUACCUCCCCUGGAACAUACUGGACUUAUGAAUUGACAGCACUUUAUACAAGAUCACUGAACUCUAUGCACUUUAUAAAUGUUUGCACUCUGGCACUGGCUGCAUUUUAUUGCUUGAUGUACUGUAUUUGUAAUUUUGUAAUAUGAAAUUCAAUAAAGAUCUUUUCAGAAAUGCAAAACUCCAUAGGAGGGUGUUAAUGCACCUGCAACUGUUUGGUAAUGGCCAAAAGAGUUUGACAGUUUAGCUAGCUAGGUAAUAACCAUCACUUAACUAACACAAACAGAUGGAUGACUCACAUAGAUUACCUAUAUAGAGACAAAAGUUUUGCUUGUCUUCAUGAUCUUGCUCGCCUGUCACUUUCUCAUCAAUACAGAUCAAAACUGCAUGACAGUACAAUUUUGAAAUCAUCCCUUUAAUUAUGCUUUUCAUGACAACUUUACAAUGUUUUAAUUUUGAAAGUUUAAUAUUGUGUAUAAUAUCAAACAUAGAUUUUGCAAAGCAUUCAAAUAUCACAGGGAAAGGGACAGCUCAGAACGCCUGUGGAGCUCAGCUAUCGGUGAUGACAUACAAUCAAUUUAUGAGACUUUCUGAGACAGCUUUCCUGUCAUGGUGUUGUUUGUUUUGGUGUUUGUUUUUGUGUUUGGGGUUGUUCUGUGUUUCCUUUUCCCCCCUCCCUCUUUCUGUUUCUCUCCCUGGCAGUGUGUGUGCAGCUGAGGGUGUGGCUGGCUGAGCGGGGCCUUCACUAUGAGGUACACCUGGUGCUCAUCAGUAAUCACUCCUGCCAUAAAAGCCUGGUCAAUACACCACUCCUGUGCCAGAUUAUCCCGUUGCAGUUGUUUUCUAGUGUGCCUCGCCUGCAGUCUCCAGUACUGCUGUUUUUCUGGUGCUCAGCCUCAGUGGAUAUGCUGGUCAAUUUGCCACCUCACCUGAGACACCAGCCAGCCCUCAGCCACCACCUCCAGCCUCUUGCCUUUUUUCAUUGAGACAUUAUUCUUUCAAUAAACACCCCAAGAACUCUC